ensembl:snoRNA small nucleolar RNA SNORA42/SNORA80 family
GCAUGGCUUUGGAUUUAUGGUAGGUCCCUUUCCAUGGGCUUCCCAUAGUGGACUCCAUGCCAGAGAAACUUGUCUCCCCGAACCAUUGGCUGUCUGACUUACUGUGGUCCUAGCUACUGAUGUGGGUGGUACAUUU